rnacentral:lncRNA from 1 species
AUUUAUGAAAAAAAGAUUAUGAAUCGUCCAUCUUAUAAAAUUUUACAUUUUAAAAUUCAGUUUUGGCCUGUAAACAGAUUUAAUAAUAAAAAAAUAUUAUUGAAAAAACAUUUUAGGAGUAAAGCGUAAGAGACGUUAUAAGAAAAUUUUAUAUUUGAAUUUGCUUAGCAAAAUGAAAAAUUUAUUGAAAGAAAGUCCUGGCUAGGUAGCUAGUUCUUACCUUUCCCAAUAGCAGCUAAUUCCCUAGCUGAAGUGAGAGAAGGGGAAAAGGAAAUGGUAGCCAAAAGAAUGCAAAUCAGGAGAAAGGCCUUCUUCAUGUUGGAGAUGAUUCUAUAUUUUUGUUUGCAAUUAUGUGUUUCUUCGAGUACUCUUAUUUAUAGUGAUAAAUCAGCAAGCCAAAUUUGAAUUGUAAUAACAUAAUUAUUUGCAACUAUAUGUUAAAAAAUAUAUAAAGCCAAGACUUAAUCAAUUACAACUUGUUUCCACAAUAAAUACACAAUUAUUUGCAACUAUAUGUUAAAAAAUAUAUAAAGCCAAAGACUUUGAUCAAUUACAACGUGACUCCACA